CAGUAGCCGCGGUAAUACGAGGGGGGCAAGCGUUGUUCGGAUUUACUGGGCGUAAAGCGCCCGUAGGCGGACUUUUAAGUCAGGGGUGAAAUCCCGGGGCUCAACCCCGGAACUGCCUUUGAUACUGGGAGUCUUGAGUUCGAGAGGGGUGAGUGGAAUUGCGAGUGUAGAGGUGAAAUUCGUAGAUAUUGGGAAGAACACCGGUGGCGAAGGCGGCGACCUGGUCCUUUACUGACGCUGAGGCGCGAAAGCGUGGGGAGCAAACAGGAUUAGAGACCCCUGUAGUCCCUGUCUCUUAUAC
rnacentral:rRNA from 1 species